UAGGGAAUUUUCCGCAAUGGGCGAAAGCCUGACGGAGCAACGCCGCGUGAGUGAUGAAGGUCUUCGGAUCGUAAAACUCUGUUCUUAGGGAAGAACAAAUGUGUAAGUAACUAUGCACAUCUUGACGGUACCUAAUCAGAAAGCCACGGCUAACUACGUGCCAGCAGCCGCGGUAAUACGUAGGUGGCAAGCGUUAUCCGGAAUUAUUGGGCGUAAAGCGCGCGUAGGCGGUUUUUUAAGUCUGAUGUGAAAGCCCACGGCUCAACCGUGGAGGGUCAUUGGAAACUGGAAAACUUGAGUGCAGAAGAGGAAAGUGGAAUUCCAGGUGUAGCGGUGAAAUGCGCAGAGAUAUGGAGGAACACCAGUGGCGAAGGCGACUUUCUGGUCUGUAACUGACGCGGAUGGGCGAAAGCGUGGGGAUCAAACAGG
rnacentral:rRNA from 1 species